rnacentral:misc_RNA from 1 species
GGAAGGAUCAUUCACAUAACCGUCAUUGUGAGUUGUCACAUGGCAGUCCUUGUGUAAUCCAAGUGUUUUCAGCACAGUCCUGAGCGAUCCCACUUGUGCAUCUGUGGUUUCUUUCAAUAACAGAAUGUUAGCGGUCAACGUUUGGGUUCCCGCUUCGAUGACGGACGUGGCAAUCUGCGUUACACAAUGCAAAUUGCAGAAUUCUGUGGAACACAUGGUUGCUGAACGUAUCAAACACUUGUAGGUGCGCCAUAGAGUGCACUCACUUCAGAAUCAUCACUUGCCUGCAGAAUAUUCUGCGGUCGUGGGCACGACGCUUCUCGGAAUGGGUUUUGCCUUGAACGUCAUGUUGUGUUCUGGCUGUGUGCGCGCACGUUUCAUGUGUGUUUCAGCAAGUCAAAACAUACAAAACUCUACACCCUAAAGCCAAAAUCUGACGUUGAGUGAGAUGGCCUGCAUAAUUUAAGCAUAUUACUGAGCAGAGAAAUAGAAAUUAACCAAGAUUCUCUUACUAAUGGCGAAUGAACCGGGAAGGAAAGCCUAUCUUGGAAAUCGAGAACAAUAGUCUUCGAAUUGUAGUUUUGCAAAGUGUCUCCAGUGGAAGCGCAUGAGAACGUUUUCUGAAAUAGAGUCGCAGAGAAAGUAACACGCUUGUUCCUUAUGUUGGUUCUCACGUACGGUGCCGUUUU